UAUCAGUUGUGAGUCGGCUUCGAGAUGGACUUAACACUGUCUUCAUGUGAGAAAAAAUCUGUUCGCACAUAUAUGUGGAUCCAAAUGCAGAGAUUAAUGCAAAGGCCACCUUUUUUAAACAUACAAAUUUUUCUGGUAAACUCUCCCAACAAGCCACAAUGGAUGCUGCUUGGUCAGUAAACAAAUUGGUCCACACCGGA